UACGGAGGAGGCAAGCGUUAUCCGGAAUUAUUGGGCGUAAAGCGUCCGUAGGUGGCUAGUCAAGUCUGCGGUCAAAGACUGGGGCUUAACCCUGGAAAGGCCGUGGAAACUGACGAGCUAGAGUGCAGUAGGGGUAGAGGGAAUUCCCGGUGUAGCGGUGGAAUGCGUAGAGCUCGGGAAGAACAUCGGUGGCGAAAGCGCUCUACUGGACUGCAACUGACACUCAGGGACGAAAGCUAGGGGAGCGAAUGGG
rnacentral:rRNA from 1 species